rfam:Ornithorhynchus anatinus chromosome 4, whole genome shotgun sequence.
GUCCUCCCUCAGGGCUGCACCUGAAGAGUUUCCAGGACUCUACCAGUCUCGGCUACAGGAGGGAGAGUCAAGCAGGGCCUGCCCGUUCCAUUCCUAGCUUGUUCAGUGGCUAAUGAAUGGAAGACAAUCUGCUACAAGU